CACGUAGGGUGCGAGCGUUGUCCGGAAUUAUUGGGCGUAAAGAGCUCGUAGGCGGUGUGUCGCGUCGGCCGUGAAAACCUGCAGCUUAACUGUGGGCUUGCGGUCGAUACGGGCAUCACUGGAGUUCGGCAGGGGAGACUGGAAUUCCUGGUGUAGCGGUGAAAUGCGCAGAUAUCAGGAGGAACACCGGUGGCGAAGGCGGGUCUCUGGGCAGUUCCUGACGGCUGAGGCA
rnacentral:rRNA from 1 species